rnacentral:rRNA from 1 species
AUUGAACGCUGGCGGCAGGCCUAACACAUGCAAGUCGAACGAGUGGCGGACGGGUGAGUAAUGUCUGGGAAACUGCCUGAUGUAGGGGGAUAACUACUGGAAACGGUAGCUAAUACCGCAUACCAUCGGAUGUGCCCAGAUUGGAUUAGCUAGUAGGUGGGGUAAAGGCUCACCUAGGCGACGAUCCCUAGCUGGUCUGAGAGGAUGACCAGCCACACUGGAACUGAGACACGGUCCAGACUCCUACGGGAGGCAGCAGUGGGGAAUAUUGCACAAGGGGCGAAAGCCUGAUGCAGCCAGGCCGCGUGUAUGAAGAAGGCUUUCGGGUGGUAAAGUACUUUCAGCGGGGAGGCGGUACCCACAGAGGAAGCACCGGCUAACUCCGUGCCAGCAGCCGCGGUAAUAC